UACGUAGGGUGCAAGCGUUGUCCGGAAUUAUUGGGCGUAAAGAGCUCGUAGGCGGUCUGUCGCGUCUGCUGUGAAAACUCGGGGCUUAACCCCGGGCCUGCAGUGGGUACGGGCAGACUAGAGUGCGGUAGGGGAGACUGGAAUUCCUGGUGUAGCGGUGAAAUGCGCAGAUAUCAGGAGGAACACCGGUGGCGAAAGCGGCGCGCUGGAUCUCUUCUGACGCUGAGGCGCGAAAGCGUGGGGAGCAAACAGG
rnacentral:rRNA from 1 species